AAUAAAGCAAAUAAGUGAAUUUCUCCAAUUUUUACUUGGUUCCUAUCUGUGCAUGAAUACGAGUGGCUACGUACGCUGCCUAGUUGAACGCCAUCCCUUCUAGCACUCCUAUCGCUAUAUAAAAUAAUGGUUUGGAUAUAUAUAUGGAGUGUUGAUACAAUCCUAACUACCUCACCACAAAAUGGAACUAUUCUACGAGUUUUGGUAAAAUUACCUUAGCAGUCCACCAAACUUGGCUCCUCUCAAAGGCUAACAUACCUCCCUUGAAAUAUCUUCCUAGACUAAAGUCACUCAAGUCAUCAACUCUUAUCGCAAUUUCUCCAAUGGAAAGACAUAGCACCUUUUCUAGGAUUGUUCCAUCAAUUUUGAUAAUUCGUCCUUGUACCACACUCGAUUCAUCCUCCGUGUUGUAGUUUGCGAUAUAUUCCUCCACUAAUGACAGAUUAAUUGAUGGUAAGCGAUCUGAUAGGUACAAAAAUUGGAUCAACUACGCAUUCUGAAAGUCUUUUAUUCUUUUCGGUGUCCAUCAAAUAUCCAACUUCAUCAACUCUAUAUUGAUAACGAUUAUCACAGAAAGUGGUUUUGAUGUACGUCUAGCUCUCACAUUUUGCCCACUUUUCUCUUUGUCUGUAGCUCGCUUUGCACUUUCAAUUGCCAUGAGGCUCCCUCUCUCAAACUCUUAACUGGAACUACUACGCUCGAAAACAUAAGAAAUACAAGAACUAGCAAUCUCAAAAAAAAACCAAGAACGACAACACAAAAUGACUUCUAACUGGUGCCCCACUCCUAUUCUCUUAGUACCGAUGAUCAUGACAACAUGUUA
rnacentral:lncRNA from 1 species